GUGUCCCGUAGUGGGGGAUAACCCGGCGAAAGCCGGACUAAUACCGCAUAUGCUCUACGGAGGAAAGCGGGGGACCUGAAAGGGCCUCGCGCUAUGGGAGCGGCCGAUGUCCGAUUAGCUUGUUGGUGGGGUAAUGGCCUACCAAGGCGACGAUCGGUAGCUGGUCUGAGAGGAUGAUCAGCCACACUGGGACUGAGACACGGCCCAGACUCCUACGGGAGGCAGCAGUGGGGAAUUUUGGACAAUGGGGGCAACCCUGAUCCAGCCAUGCCGCGUGCGGGAAGAAGGCCUUCGGGUUGUAAACCGCUUUUAGUCGGGAAGAAAAGGCACGGGUGAAUACCCCGUGUUCUUGACGGUACCGGCGGAAUAAGCACCGGCUAACUACGUGCCAGCAGCCGCGGUAAUACGUAGGGUGCGAGCG
rnacentral:rRNA from 1 species